rnacentral:rRNA from 1 species
UACGUAGGGUGCAAGCGUUGUCCGGAAUUAUUGGGCGUAAAGAGCUCGUAGGCGGCUUGUCGCGUCGACUGUGAAAACCCGUGGCUCAACCAUGUGGUCUGCAGUCGAUACGGGCAGGCUAGAAUUCGGUAGGGGAGACUGGAAUUCCUGGUGUAGCGGUGAAAUGCGCAGAUAUCAGGAGGAACACCGGUGGCGAAGGCGGAUCUCUGGGCCUUACCUGACGCUCAGGUGCGAAAGCUAGGGGAGCGAACAGG